AUCUAAGGUUUCCAGAGUAAAGCUGAUCUGCUCUGGGUAAGUCGGGGCCUAAGGCGAGGUCGAAAGACGUAGUCGAUGGAUAACAGGUUGAAAUUCCUGUACUGCAUAUCAUCAGAACUGUGGGGACACAGAGAGAUACCGGAACCUGGGAAUGAAGAUACCAGGGCAAGCGAGGUAGGUGCUAAGCUGGAAAAACCGCUUAGUAAGCCGAAGACGUGAUGCGGAGCGAAUUAAAGUAGCGAAGUCCGGGAUUCGAGCUGUCGAGAAAAGCCGCUAUUGUGUGAUAUGUACCCGUACCGUAAACCGACACAGGUGGAUGAGGAGAGAAUCCUAAGGCCGGCGGGAGAAGCAUUGUUAAGGAACUCGGCAAAAUGACCCUGUAACUUCGGGAUAAAGGGUGCCACAGAGAUGUGGCCGCAGAGAAUAGGCUCAAGCAACUGUUUAGCAAAAACACAGGUCUAUGCGAAACCGAAAGGUGAGGUAUAUGGGCUGACGCCUGCCCGGUGCUGGAAGGUUAAGAGGAGAGGUUAGCGCAAGCGAAGCUUUGAAUUUAAGCCCCAGUAAACGGCGGCCGUAACUAUAACGGUCCUAAGGUAGCGAAAUUCCUUGUCGGGUAAGUUCCGACCCGCACGAAAGGCGUAAUGAUUUGAGCGCUGUCUCGACAAUGCACCCGGUGAAAUUGAAAUACCAGUGAAGAUGCUGGUUACCUGCGCCAGGACGGAAAGACCCCAUGGAGCUUUACUCUAGCUUGAUACUGGGAUUCGGUACUGCAUGUACAGGAUAGGUGGGAGACGAAGAGGACAGGACGCCAGUCUUGUCGGAGUCGCUGUUGGGAUACCACCCUUGUGGUACUGGAUUUCUAACCAACCUCCGUGACCCGGAGGUGGGACAAUGUCAGGUGGGGAGUUUGACUGGGGCGGUCGCCUCCGAAAGGGUAUCGGAGGCGCUCAAAGGUUCCCUCAGAAUGGUUGGAAACCAUUCAAAGAGUGCAAAGGCAGAAGGGAGCUUGACUGCGAGACCGACGGGUCGAGCAGGUACGAAAGUAGGACUUAGUGAUCCGGUGGUAGAAAGUGGGAUUGCCAUCGCUCAACGGAUAAAAGCUACCCUGGGGAUAACAGGCUUAUCACUCCCAAGAGUUCACAUCGACGGAGUGGUUUGGCACCUCGAUGUCGGCUCAUCGCAUCCUGGGGCUGAAGUAGGUCCCAAGGGUUGGGCUGUUCGCCCAUUAAAGCGGUACGCGAGCUGGGUUCAGAACGUCGUGAGACAGUUCGGUCCCUAUCCGGCGCGGGCGUAGGAUAUUUGAGAGGAGCUGCCCUUAGUACGAGAGGACCGGGGUGGACUGGCCUCUGGUGUAUCUGUUGAGCCAUCAGGCUCAUGGCAGAGUAGCCAAGCCGGGACGGGAUAAACGCUGAAGGCAUCUAAGCGUGAAGCCCCCCUCAAGAUGAGAUAUCCCAUACGCAAGUAGUAAGACCCCUUGAAGACGACGAGGUAGAUAGGGCAGAGGUGGAAGCGUAGUAAUACGUGAAGCUGACUGUUACUAAUCGGUCGAGGGCUUAACCA
rnacentral:rRNA from 1 species